GGAAGAGUGUCCGAGUGGCCGAUGGAGCACGCUUGGAAAGCGUGUGUACGGGCAACCGUACCAUGGGUUCGAAUCCCAUCUCUUCCGCCA
rnacentral:tRNA from 1 species